rnacentral:rRNA from 1 species
UACGGGGUAGCAAGCGUUGUUCGGAUUUACUGGGCGUAAAGGGCGCGUAGGCGGUCAGCACAAGUCAGUUGUGAAAUCUCCGGGCUUAACUCGGAAAGGUCAACUGAUACUGUGCGACUAGAGUGCAGAAGGGGCAACUGGAAUUCUCGGUGUAGCAGUGAAAUGCGUAGAUAUCGAGAGGAACACCAGUGGCGAAGGCGGCAUCCUGGACCAAUAUUGACGCUGAGGAGCGAAAGCCAGGGGAGCAAACGGG